GGGUGCGGUGUCGUCGCCGCAGGUCACCCCGGCUGGUCGGGCCGCCAGCC
rnacentral:ncRNA from 1 species